UACGGAAGGGCAGCAGUGGGGAAUAUUGCACAAUGGGCGCAAGCCUGAUGCAGCCAUGCCGCGUGUAUGAAGAAGGCCUUCGGGUUGUAAAGUACUUUCAGUCGUGAGGAAGGUGUUAAGGUUAAUAACCUUAGCAAUUGACGUUAGCGACAGAAGAAGCACCGGCUAACUCCGUGCCAGCAGCCGCGGUAAUACGGAGGGUGCGAGCGUUAAUCGGAAUUACUGGGCGUAAAGGGCACGCAGGCGGUUAAUUAAGUUGGAUGUGAAAUCCCCGGGCUUAACCUGGGAAUGGCAUUCAAGACUGGUUAGCUAGAGUCUUGUAGAGGGGGUAGAAUUCCAUGUGUAGCGGUGAAAUGCGUAGAGAUGUGGAGGAAUACCGGUGGCGAAGGCGGCCCCUGGACAAAGACUGACGCUCAUGUGCGAAAGCGUGGGGAGCGAAAC
rnacentral:rRNA from 1 species